CGUUGAUCGCUGAUUGGCACUAUCCUUCCACUCUAUUUAUCAGCGUACAGCAAAUAAACAAACAUUAUCAAGGGAUCAUAGCUAGCAAAUUUACGUAGAUGGAAACGCUUAUAUCCUCGACGAGCAAUUGAUCCAGUUUUCGUUCCUUGACGUUAUAGCUAACGAGAAAACAUUGAGAUCUUCAGACCAAUAACUAUCAUCAAGGCUUGGGAUUUACAACGGAAGAAAUAGGCACAAGUAAUGCCACAAUAACUGAUGUUGUAGCAGGAGGGAGUGUCUCGUAUUGAUAAAGGAAUCAGUCAUCGUUUGUAGCCUGGGAUUGGAGGAUCAAAUGUUUUUAAUCAGGCAAGAAGGAGGGGUCAGUCUUCGCCAAUGGGGGGAUUACAUUAAAGCUUAUGGGGGUGACACAACCAAAAUCCUCAAAUUCUCCUCCCCCUGGCGAAAAAUAAUGACCGGUCCCAAAAAGGAAAGGUAAAAAGUUACCGUGGUAAGCAUCUUGUGAAUAGCAAUAAUACAAGCAGCCUGUG